rnacentral:misc_RNA from 1 species
UUUCCGUAGGUGAACCUGCGGAAGGAUCAUUAAUGAAUGAAUGUAGAGUCGGUUGUAGCUGGCCUCCCUGAGGUAUGCGCACGCCUUCUCUUUCAUCCACACACCCCUGUGCACUUGUGAGACGGAGGCGUUUUCCUUUAAUCGGGGAUGGUCUCCGUCUGCUAUCACAUAAAAUCUAAUUUAUUUAAAACUGAAUGUAAUUGAUGUAACGCAUCUAAUACAAAGUUUCAACAACGGAUCUCUUGGCUCUCGCAUCGAUGAAGAACGCAGC